rnacentral:piRNA from 1 species
GAGAUUUCCAACUCCUAGAAACUGGGUAUA